rnacentral:rRNA from 1 species
AGCGGUAGAGAGAAGCUUGCUUCUCUUGAGAGCGGCGGACGGGUGAGUAAUGCCUAGGAAUCUGCCUGGUAGUGGGGGAUAACGUUCGGAAACGAACGCUAAUACCGCAUACGUCCUACGGGAGAAAGCAGGGGACCUUCGGGCCUUGCGCUAUCAGAUGAGCCUAGGUCGGAUUAGCUAGUUGGUGGGGUAAUGGCUCACCAAGGCGACGAUCCGUAACUGGUCUGAGAGGAUGAUCAGUCACACUGGAACUGAGACACGGUCCAGACUCCUACGGGAGGCAGCAGUGGGGAAUAUUGGACAAUGGGCGAAAGCCUGAUCCAGCCAUGCCGCGUGUGUGAAGAAGGUCUUCGGAUUGUAAAGCACUUUAAGUUGGGAGGAAGGGCAGUUACCUAAUACGUGAUUGUUUUGACGUUACCGACAGAAUAAGCACCGGCUAACUCUGUGCCAGCAGCCGCGGUAAUACAGAGGGUGCAAGCGUUAAUCGGAAUUACUGGGCGUAAAGCGCGCGUAGGUGGUUCGUUAAGUUGGAUGUGAAAUCCCCGGGCUCAACCU